rnacentral:rRNA from 1 species
UACGAAGGGGGCUAGCGUUGCUCGGAAUUACUGGGCGUAAAGGGAGCGUAGGCGGACAUUUAAGUCAGAGGUGAAAUCCCGGAGCUUAACUUCGGAACUGCCUUUGAUACUGGGUGUCUUGAGUGUGAGAGAGGUAUGUGGAACUCCGAGUGUAGAGGUGAAAUUCGUAGAUAUUCGGAAGAAACACCAGUGGCGAGGGCGACAUACUGGCUCAUUACUGACGCUGGAGGCUACGAAAGCGUGGGGAGCAAACAGG